rnacentral:sRNA from 1 species
UGACGGUAGCGUGCGGCACAGCCUCAAC